GGAUCCAGACUUUGAUCAUGGCUCAGGACGAACGCUGGCGGCGUGCUUAACACAUGCAAGUCGAACGGAGCGCCAUGGAAUGAGGUUUCGGCCAAAGGAAAUGGUUGCUUAGUGGCGGACUGGUGAGUAACGCGUGAGGAACCUGCCUUUCAGAGGGGGACAACAGUUGGAAACGACUGCUAAUACCGCAUGACGCAUGACCGGGGCAUCCCGGACAUGCCAAAGAUUUAUCGCUGAAAGAUAGCCUCGCGUCCGAUUAGAUAGUUGGCGGGGUAACGGCCCACCAAGUCGACGAUCGGUAGCCGGACUGAGAGGUUGGCCGGCCACAUUGGGACUGAGAUACGGCCCAGACUCCUACGGGAGGCAGCAGUGGGGAAUAUUGGG
rnacentral:rRNA from 1 species